CCGAGGCAGUGAAAAAAGAAGAAUAGAAUUUAUAUAAAAAGAAGAAUAGAUUAGCAGAUAAAGAAUUUAUCUGAAUUUACGUUUAUAAAAUUUUAAUAAAAAAAUGGCGUUAGGUACUGCACUAGCAACAUCAGUAGCGGCCUUAUCACUUGUGAGUUUGAAAUUAUACAUAAAACUAUCUACGGGUAUGUGCCAUAGUCAAGUAUGUUUGGUAGGGAAAACUGCAAUUGUAACAGGAGCCAACACAGGUAUUGGCUAUGAAACCGCUUUGGAUUUUGCAAAACGAGGAGCUAGGGUAAUCUUAGCUUGCAGAGAUGAAACCAAAGCAAAAGAAGCAUAUAACAAGAUAAUUGCAGAGACCAGUAACUCAAAUAUUGUUUAUAAAUUGGUAGAUUUGACUAGUUUUGAUUCUGUUAGAAAAUUUGCUCAUGAUAUUAAUGCAAAUGAAGACAGAUUGGAUAUUUUGGUCAACAAUGCAGGUGCCGGAAGAUUGGGUAACAAGACAACUGUUGAUGGUAUUUCAAUAACGAUGCAAACAAAUUAUUUUUCACAUUUUCUAUUAACCAUCCUAUUAUUAGAUCUAAUGAAGAAAUAUCCUAGUCGGAUUGUGAAUGUUUCCGCAAUAGGGGCAAAACUUGGACGCAUUGAUUUUGCCAAAUUAACAUCUUUCACCAACGAAUCUAACCAAUACAUUACCUCUAAACUUUGUCAAAUCUUAUUCACUAUAGAACUCGCUAAUAGACUUAAAAAUACAAAUAUUACUGCUUAUUCUCUCCACCCUGGAGUGAUAAAGACAGAAAUUUUUAGAAACAUGUCUCCGGCAAUAAGAUGGAUAAUUUUGUUCUUAAUUGACACAUUUUUUAAAGUAAGUGUAUAUUCAUAAACAACCUUAAUCCAUUAAUGCCCACAACUUUUUUUUUAAUGUUUGUUUACUCGAUAUUGUUUCAAAAUGGUGUUGAAUAAAUAAAUCAUCAUCAAUAGUUACUAAAGUUGCUUCUGAUCGCUUAAGGAAUAAUAUCUACCAAGCAAUUUAGGAUUUGAAUUAGGAUAAUGACAUCAAAUAGUUUUGAAAUUAUUUUUAUCGAAUUUAUCAAUCUGCAUUUUGAAUUAAAAAAGCUUUUACUGAAUUUCUCAAAGUGUUUCUUAAAAUGUCAACAAUUUAUCCAUUUGCAAUCCAGCCUAAUAAUUCAUAGAGGAUACCAAUAACUCCAGCACUUUAUUAUGUAGAAGAAAAAUUGAGUCUAACUUAUAUUAUAAAAGAAAAACAUAAAUUUUAGAGCUUGAAUUUUCUUAAAAACACCAAGACAAUCUCUUUUCUUGCCUUUUUGCAAUAUGUGUAGUAACUUCGCCAUUGAACAUUUUGUCGUACAUUACAUAGUUAGCAGAAGAUUUCAAAACUCAUUUCUUGCAUUUUCUGGAAAACUAAGCUUUUCUGGAGAAAAUAGUAAAUGGCAAAGUUAUACCAUACAAAAUUCCCGAUAACUUUUGUCUAAAACAUUUUUUUCAAUUCUGCUUAGUUUCACCACUGGAGGGUAUAUAUGCCACAUUGUGUAUAGAAGCUUCUGGGACUCUAUUGAUAAACGUUGAAAAGCGAAACUGGGGUGUCCAUUUAAUGUCCGAAGAAAAAAUUCCUACUUGAAUUUACUAUUUGAAUUAUAGUUCAAGUGUCUAAAAUUCUGAGUCGUGGCAUUGCGCUUCCUUGUGGAAAUAUUGUGUUUCGAACAUUGCUAUGUUAUUUAGAGGAUAAAAAGAUUUAGUUUUAUUCUGGUUGCAUUCGUAAUAAUACAGUUGUAAUUACAGGUGUCAAAUUUAUUGUUGAUAUUUAUUAAGAAACAUCAAAUUUAUGAAGACAAUCGGCUGGUAAUUUGUGAGGGAGUUUCUGGGGGUUCGUUCAUGUAUAAUCUUGGUAUUCCAAUAUUAUGUCCUCGUUAUAUUUUUAUCUAUUCGCUUCUCGAAAGGAUGUUCUCCAGAAGUAACAUUUCCAAAUUUCCCUUUGGUAUAUCUAACGGAAAUAGAACACAUUAAACAAAUAUUUGAAUAUACUUGUAAAAUUUCUAUAAUUUUACAAAGAUUCUGUGAAAAAUGCCCCAAAAGAAAACUUGGGAACAAAAGUUGUCAUAAAUUAUGUACAAUACAAUUUUUUAAUCCAUUUUUCCAGGCCCUCUAGCGGGGAAACUAAGCAAUACUGGAAAAAAUGUUUCAGACAAAAGUUGUGCGAAAUCUUAUACUCUAUAAGACUGCCAUUUACCUUUUUUCCCUAGGACGCGUAGUUUUCUAGAAAAACUGAUUUUUAAAAAUUAUACUUUUCAAGAAAAUGAAUGUUUAUAUCUUAUAGAGGUAGUUUUCUAUAAUUUCCUUCAUUUCCACGUAAUUUCAGUACUCUCGAAGGACUUUUUUGUAAAGUUUAUAUUCUAAAUAUAUCAAAAAUAAUCUUUUUUCAUAUAUUUUCGUUGUUAAAGUGAAUUCGUUCUGUAAUAAUAGAAAUAUAGCAAAAUACAAAAAGUUUUUCCUAAAAAAAGCAGCAACUUUGGUUGCAUCAAAAUUUGAACAUAAUUUUUUGACCAUAGUAAAAAAAUAUGAGAAUAAUAGCUCUGUUAGAAAAAAGCAAACAACUCCUUUCACUAUUAGUCAUUUUUUUAUCUUCGCCCUUUUAACAUUAAAAAAGACUUUUUCUAUUUCUAAAAAAAUCUGAAUUGUCAUGAAACUUAAGUUUAGCCAAGAGAAAUAAUUUCCAAAUUUCUGUUAUAGACAGCAACCGAAGGUGCCCAAACACAAAUCUAUUGUGCCAUAGAAAAUGGUUUGGAAAAAUACAGCGGGCAGCAUUUCCAUGAUUGCAAAAUGGUUAAAAGGUACAAGAGUGCCGAUGACCCAGCUUUGGCUAAGAAACUUUGGGAAGAAAGUGAACGAAUAUGCAAAGUUAAUGGAGUUUCUUACAAUUAAUUGAGAAUAUCUCAAAUUUCAUUAUAUUCAGAUUAACUUUUAGUACAAAUAUUGCCAUUUGCAUCAUAUUAUAAGGUAAUAAUUUCAUUUCUUGGCACCCUUUACAGACAUCUGUUCAAUUGCGAGUCAAAAAAACAUUGUUAUUUUUUUUUGUUCUAUUUCUAAUACAAAUCGUUUUAAAAUUUGUAUACAAUAGAUAUAAGUUGUAAUUAAUUUACAUAAAACACAAAUUAAUUUAAAUCAAUUACGUUGUACUA